CCUACGGUGUGCAGCAGUGAGGAAUAUUUGUCAAUGGGCGCGAGACUGAACCAGCCAAGUCGCGUGAGGGAGGACGGCCCUACGGGUUGUAAACCUCUUUUGCCGGGGAGCAACGGGCGCCACGUGUGGCGUCACUGAGAGUACCCGGAGAAAAAGCAUCGGCUAACUCCGUGCCAGCAGCCGCGGUAAUACGGAGGAUGCGAGCGUUAUCCGGAUUUAUUGGGUUUAAGGGGUACGUAGGCGGAUCGUUAAGUCAGUGGUCAAAUUGAGGGGCCCCACCCCUUCCCGCCAUUGAAACUGGCGUUCUUGAGUGGAAGAGAAGUAUGCGGAAUGCGUGGUGUAGCGGUGAAAUGCAGAGAUAUCACGCAGAACCCCGAUUGCGAAGGCAGCAUGCCGGCUUCCGACUGACGCUGAAGCACGAAAGCGUGGGGAUCGAACAGGAUUAGAUACCCUGGUAGUC
rnacentral:rRNA from 1 species